GAUGAACGCUGGCGGCGUGCUUAACACAUGCAAGUCGAGCGAAGCAGUUAAGUUGAUUUCUUCGGAUUGAUUCUUAAUUGACUGAGCGGCGGACGGGUGAGUAACGCGUGGGUGACCUGCCCCAUACCGGGGGGAUAACAGCUGGAAACGGCUGCUAAUACCGCAUAAGCGCACAGAGCUGCAUGGCUCGGUGUGAAAAACUCCGGUGGUAUGGGAUGGGCCCGCGUCUGAUUAGGCAGUUGGCGGGGUAACGGCCCACCAAACCGACGAUCAGUAGCCGGCCUGAGAGGGCGACCGGCCACAUUGGGACUGAGACACGGCCCAAACUCCUACGGGAGGCAGCAGUGGGGAAUAUUGCACAAUGGGGGAAACCCUGAUGCAGCGACGCCGCGUGAGCGAAGAAGUAUUUCGGUAUGUAAAGCUCUAUCAGCAGGGAAGA
rnacentral:rRNA from 1 species